GGGUUUGAUUAUGGCUCAGAACGAACGCUGGCGGCAGGCCUAAUACAUGCAAGUCGAGCGCGCCCUUCGGGGUGAGCGGCGGACGGGUGAGUAACGCGUGGGAAUAUGCCCUUCUCUAAGGAAUAGCCUCUGGAAACGGAGAGUAAUACCUUAUACGCCCUUUGGGGGAAAGAUUUAUCGGAGAAGGAUUAGCCCGCGUUAGAUUAGGUAGUUGGUGGGGUAAUGGCCUACCAAGCCUACGAUCUAUAGCUGGUUUGAGAGGAUGAUCAGCCACACUGGGACUGAGACACGGCCCAGACUCCUACGGGAGGCAGCAGUAGGGAAUCUUAGACAAUGGGGGCAACCCUGAUCUAGCCAUGCCGCGUGUGUGAUGAAGGCCCUAGGGUCGUAAAGCACUUUCGCCAGAGAUGAUAAUGACAGUAUCUGGUAAAGAAACCCCGGCUAACUCCGUGC
rnacentral:rRNA from 1 species